AUAUCUCCUGUGGAACACAGUUUUGGAUGAUAAUUGUUGAUAUCAAAACUUGGAUGACAGCAAACUUCCCAAAAUCAAAUGAUGGCAAAACUAAACUUUUGAUCACCAGUUCAAAACUAAUGCACACCAAGAUUCAACUUCCCAAUAUACUGAUUAAAGAGACUAUUGGUUAACCAGCAAGGAAAUCUUGGCUUGAUCACUUGAUAAUGCAGAGAUACAUUUCCUCGGACAAAUCAGUGUAUAUGUUGACUAUUUCAAUUAACAGGAAAAGGUGUUUGCAAAAAUAUCUUGGCGAAGCAGGAUUUGAAACCACAAUUAGAUGUUUGUGGCCUAAAGACAAAACGGUCCACAGCGUUUUACAUAGCAUUAGACGAAUAUGUAUUGUGCGUUUUAAUGAGGAUUCAUUGUACAGUAAAUUAUGUUUACAUUGAACGUGCUUACUCAUAAUAACUGUGCUUUUCCUGGAACGUGUUGUAUAUUUUAGCCGAAAUAUGUAUAACGAACAACAGUUAGAACGACCUACAAUUACUUAUCAUAUUGUGUUCCUCUUAUAACUGUAGUUUACUGUACAUGUCCAUUGUAUAUACAUGUAACUGUAUCAUUACUCAAUUAAUGAUUAUUUCGUUAUGACAAUGUGAUCAUUUACAGCUAUCAGUCUUCUUUAUUUACACCUGCACUUAUCGUAUAGUCUUGACGAGUGAUCAUUUAAAGUAGUGUUAACAGUAUAUCUUUGUUUUUAAUAUCUUGUAUCCUUCAGCAUGGAAGGAUAUGAUCACCAUGGAGGUAUUUCCAAUGUAUGAAACUGAUUCUGAAUGAUUAUCUCAUAUAUACCGACGCGGUUGUUAUUUCGUGGCAUGUCUCGGUCAGCCAGGUCAAGCGAUGAUGGCUACAAAUGGAGUGGACUGCUUUCGGGACAUUGACCGAAAAGUAGCUUGUGGUCAGAAUAGCUCAGGUUCACGUUGUAAGUGAAACAUCACAUGGCUGCAACCAGACUGGCCCUCAACUUGCUCAAGAAUACCAGUGUUGGCAGAGGACUCUUCCUAUGUUGAUAGUUAAGCCUAAAUGAAACACUGACAUAGGUCAGCUGGAUCAGCCAACCAGGUAGCCAAGUACAGGAUCAGCCAAUCAAGUAGCCGAGUACUGGACCAGCCAACCAGGUAGCCGAGUACUGGACCAGCCAACCAGGUAGCCGAGUACUGGACCAGCCAACCAAAUAGCUGUGUAAUAGGUUGAGAAAGAUUGCACGUUAUUCACACAUGCUGAACGAAUUUCCAGAUGAAACCUAAACAAAUAACAUCAUGUUGAGAUUGUAUUCAUUUAUGGUGUUAUGGAGGACAAGUCCAAAUAUGAUGCAGCAGUGACAAAAACGAUGCAUGAUGCAAUACCCAUGUUUUACACGUCUU